UUUUUUUUUACACAUUAGCCAGUCUCAGGUAUUUCUUUAUAGCAGUGCGAGAAACCUCCCCCAUGCUCCAAUCACCUCUCACCAGAUUCCACCUCCAAUAUUGGGGAUUGCAUUUCAAUAUGAGAUUUGGGCGGGGACACUAUGUAGAUAUCCAAGCUAUAUCAGAAGACAUGCUACCUGAACUCAAGCGAUCCUCCUGCCUCAGCCUCCUGAGUAGGUGAGGUACAGGCGUGAACACUAUGCCUGGCUAACUUUGUUUUUUGUAGAGGUAGGAUCUCAAAUUCCUGGCCUCAAGUGAUCCCCCUGCCUUGGCCUCUCAAAGUGCUGGGAUUAUAGGUGUGAACCACCGUGCCUGGCUUAAAGCAAUUUUCUGAUGACUGAUUAUGCUUUCCAGAUAUCUUACUCUUGAGAAAGGUGGUACCCCACAUUUGAAACACAAGCAUUUUGGCUCACUAGAAGGAUAUAUCCUCUAUUGUAAAUAAAAAGUUGGCCUCUUUAUGCAUGAGGCAAGCGUUGUUUCUAUUUAGAUUGGUCUGAAUCUAGUCAUCUCAAGUUGCUCAUCUCCAGGUGAACUGAGAAAAAUCCAGUGUUCUGAUUUGAGAAGCCAAGAAGACCUUGGCUGAUGGUAAAUUUUUAGCAGGGAAUCUGGUAGUGACCAGUUUGCUUAGCAGAGCUGAUGGCAUUCACAUCACCAUGUAUAGAACUUGGACCAGCGAAGGCACAGCCAGCUGGGAUUUGCUGUUAUACAUAGCAGCUUAGGGAGCCAGAUUCUAGUGAUCACUUAUGUGUAUUCUUUCAUUCCUGGAACGAACUCCACUUGGUCAUUGUGCUGAAAAGAGUUAUCAUAGCCAGCCAGACCCUGCUAUUUCUAGAAUGGUCUGUUUGCAAGGUUGGCCCUUGGCUGGUGUCUGAAAACUUGGCAUUCGAAUCAUUCCCUAACUGAUAAGGCUGAUUGGGCUGAUUGACAAUGUGGUUUAUCCAGUACACUAGCUUUCCUUCUGAGGAAGGGAAUUCCUCUGAGAGUCUGGAAUUUUGGUAGUUGCCAGGCAGAAGAGGCCCAUGUAGCCAGCCACCAACAAAAAAACUUUGGGCGCUGAGUCUCUAACAGGCUUCCUGGGCAGAAACAUUAUUGCAUUGAUUGUUGCUGGAGAAAGGAACUUGCUUGCAGUGUCCCUUACAGAAGGGAGAGAAUAUAGGAAGACUGUGCAUGAAUUUCUCCAUUCCACCCAUGUCUUUUUCCUCUGGUGAUUCUGUUGUGUCCUGAUAUGGUUUGGCUGUGUCCCUAUCCAAAUUUUAUCUUGAAUUGUAACUCCCACAAUUCCUGAAUGUCAUGGGGGAACCCGGUGGGAGGUGAUUGAAUUAUGGGGGCAGGUCUUUUCCUGCGCUGUUCUCAUGAUAGUGAAUGAGUCUCAUGAAAUCUGAUGGUUUUAAAAACAGGAGUUUCCCUGAACAAGCUCUCUUUGCCUGCUGCCAUCCAUGUAAGACGUGACUUGUUCCUCCUUGCCUUCUGCCAUGAUUGUGAGGCCUCCCCAGCCGUGCGGAACUAAGGAGGACAAAAAAGUGACAGAAGGCACCCGUGUAUUGUUCCUGAUUUGGAUGGCUGUACUGUGUAGAUUUUGGAAGCCGCAUCUUUGGUUGAAGAGGACGACCAUCCCCAAUAGAGGAGGACUGGUCUUCAAUCAAGGGCAUAUGAGUAGCUGCACUCCCCUGAUAGAACCUCCAAACAAGCUCUGAAAAAAUGAGGGCAUUUUCUAAUAUCAACUAAUAAUGUGGAGAGAGUACUGGAGUUAAAUAAUCAUUUUGCAAAAAUCAUAAUAAAACUGGUUCAAGCAAGAAUCAUCAAUGGAUAUUAAAUGUAGUGAGAACUGUGUGUAGUUAUAGUAGAGAAAUUGGACAACAAAUAGUCCUGUAUAUAGUCACAGUAGAAAAAUUGGACAACACUUUGAUCAGUGAUCAAAAUUAAUGCCACCAGUGAAGGACAGAAAAACAACAUGUGCCUCCAGUUAUAAUACACUCAGAAGCAUCUUGUAGUUCUCUGGUUGAGAAUGUGAAACCUAAUCUUGAGGGACCAUUAGACAGACUCCAACUUCUGAUUGAUUUUUAUAAAUACUUCAGUGCUCAAAAGGCAAAUGUGUUUUUUUAUAUCUGUAGAACCACAAAUUUUCUAUGUAUUCAUAUGAGUUGUUUAUAUAUAUAUGUUUAUAUAUUAUAUAUAUAAAUAUUAUUAUUAUUAUUAUUUUGAGAUGGAGUCUCGCUCUGUCACCCAGGCUGGAGUGCAGUAGUGUGAUCUCGGCUCACUGCCACCUCCGCCUCCCAGGUUCAAGCAAUUCUCCUGCCUCAGGCUCCUGAGUAGCUGGGAUUACAGAUGAGCCCACUAUGCGCAGCUAAUUUUUGUAUUUUUAGUAGAGACGGGAUUUCACCAUGAUCAGGCUGGUCUCGAACUCCUGACCUUGUGAUCUACCCUCCUUGGCCUCUCAAAGUGCUGGGAUUACAGCACCUUGAGAUAUACACCACGCCUGGCCUGAUGUAUAUUGUUAAUUGUGGUUAUAUCAUAUAGGUCCUUGCCUUUCUUGUUGUUUUGUUUACGCUUAGGUCUAUCACUUUCUGAAAAUAGCAUAUUAAAAUCUCCCACAGGAGUUGUAUUUUAAAAAUCAAAUUCUCCAUGUAUUUCUAUGAGUUUUUGCCUUAUAUUUAGCUGCGACUUUUUAGGGGGAAGAAAGUUUCAUGACUUUUCAUUUUCUUUAUCCUUUGUAAUGUUUUGAACUUAAAUGCAUUUUGUGUGAUAUGCUAUUGCAACUUUUGCUUUCAUUUUGUUUGAAUUUGCUUGGUAUCCCUUUAUUUUAACUUACUUCCUAUCUUUUAAAGUGUAUUUCUUAUUUUUUAAUUCAAUAUAUUGUACUUCAGUAAAGGAAUUCAGACCAUCUGCAUUUAGGAUAGUAAAUAUCCUUACAUGUAAUUUUAUGUUUCUCUGUGUUUUACUUUGUUAUUGCUUCCUUUUUUUCCUUUAAUUAAUUAAUUUACUAGCUUGAGUAAAUUGUCAUUUAACCCCUCUUUUUUCCUCUUGCUAAUUUUGAAGUAUUUCUCUGCUUUUCAAUUCUGCAAGUGGUUACUUUUUUAGCCCCAAGAAUCAUCAUUGAACAUAUUUUAUCUCUUAUGUCUGAUUAUGACAGCAAUUAUCAGCUUGCUCCCAACAAAUUGUUUAUUUACCUAUCCCUCUGUACUAAGAGCAAAAUGAAAGGAAAUCAUUAGAAAUGCUUUAUUUCUUUACUCUCAAACUUUCCCUUAAUUUUCUUUUCCAGCUCUUGCUCAAAUAGUUUAAAACAUUUAGUUUAGGCUAUUGUAUUAGUCAGGGUUGU